CAGCCUGAAAUGAAGGAGACAGAUGUUCAGCACAACUUCAGUGAUAAAUCAAGAUUCGACACUAAUCUGCUGCUCUCCUUGUGCCACCACACGAGCACAGAACAACGCUGAGAACAAACGGCCGAGUGUUUCCUCAACAGCAUGAUCAAAGUCUGUGAACUUAAAUCCAAUUUCCAAGUCGGUUCUGGGCCUUGAUUGAGUGGAAAAACAAUCUUGAAGUGCAACUUUGAGGAAAAUCUGCAUCAAUUUGUGUUACUUUUGCAGAAUUUGCAUGAUAAGAGGAGCUAAAAUGUGUCUCCUUACACGUCAGUUUCCCAGCAUGCUCUUGAAACAAAUAACUGCCCAUGUGUAUGUGCUUUAGGAAGCAUUAGGUACCUGUGCGUGCUACCCCUCCGUGCACUGUGGGCUUCCUGCCAGCCGCGUUUGCAGGUGCUGCUUACAUGCUGGUAUCGUGCAGUCUCUGGUGUGGUGGUAAACUCUGUACACAGUCUUCCUGCACUUUGGGCUGAAGAAAAGAGGACCUGACAGAAGACAGGACAGAAUCUCUGGGAAAUGUAACUGUUGGAAGAGAUGGGAGAAACUGUCACGCGCAUGUUGGCAACAUGAGUCCAAUAAAACAGUUAAAGCUUUUGCAGUUGUGCCAGAAUGGCUGUAAACAUUACAGGAAUUAAGGAGAUCCAAGGGUUUUACGCAUCACUCCAACAGCGAUUUCGUGCGUUUUGGAGCAUGUUUGAUGCGUA